rnacentral:rRNA from 1 species
AACGAACGCUGGCGGCAGGCUUAACACAUGCAAGUCGAACGCAUCCUUCGGGGUGAGUGGCAGACGGGUGAGUAACGCGUGGGAACGUGCCCUUCAGUUCGGAAUAACCCAGGGAAACUUGGGCUAAUACCGGAUACGUGCGAGAGCAGAAAGAUUUAUCGCUGAAGGAUCGGCCCGCGUCUGAUUAGCUGGUUGGUGGGGUAAUGGCCCACCAAGGCGACGAUCAGUAGCUGGUCUGAGAGGAUGAUCAGCCACAUUGGGACUGAGACACGGCCCAAACUCCUACGGGAGGCAUCAGUGGGGAAUAUUUGCCAAUGGGCGCAAGCCUGAUCAAGCCAUGCCGCGUGAGUGAUGAAGGCCUUAGGGUUGUAAAGCUCUUUCGCACGCGACGAUAAUGACGGUAGCGUGAGCAGAAGCCCCGGCUAACUUCGUGCCAGCCGCCGCCGUAACAC